AAGGGGCCGCUGCUCAGCGCUGUCUGGACAGAGCCAGGGGGGCGGCGCUGGCUGUUACCUCGACCGUGAUCAGUAACUCCCUCAGACAUUCCGCAGUGAUUUCAGUGGAAAAACAAAGGCACUUGGCAAAAUCAGCGGGGGUGAAAUUUCUUGUUCCAUUUCACACAGCUCUGAGGAACAGCACCUUCGACACUUAGAGGUGCUUCUUGAAUUCUAGCUCACAUCCACACAUUCUGCAAGUCCUUCUGAUCAGCUGAAAGCGACAGACUGCAAACUGCCACUUGUGCAUGAAUGAGCCAGUAUAACUGUUUUAAUGGACCUAGUCAUACAUUCACUUUUCUUAAGUAAAAAGUGACAGAACAAGAGGAAAGAGCCUCAAGUUCUGCCAGGGGAGGCGUAGACUGGAUAUUUGGAGAAAUUUCUUCACCCAAAAAGGUUGUCAAGUGUUGGAACAGGCUGCCCAGGGCAGUGGAGUCCCCAUCCCUGGGGGUUGAAAAGGCCUGUAGGCAAUGGCUCGUAGGGACAUGGGCUAGUGGUGGACUUGACAGUGUUGGGUUAAAGGUUGGACUUGAUGAUCUUAAUGGUCUUCUCCAAACUAAAUUAUUUCGUGAUUCUAUGAUUUUACUCUUAAAAACAUGCUGUUUCAUAACUGCAAGCCUGUGGUCUGCAGGGCUGAACAGUAGGUAACAGAUCAGACUAGUUCAAAAUCCCCCAGAUGUGUGGAAGAACACAACUACAGCCUAUCUAACAGUCACCUGCAACCAAACAGCUGGGGAGGAAAAAAAAGUAAAGAAGAUACCAAAAUACGGAUUUGCUUGCACACCAAAAUAAGAGACAUUUUUUGUUCCUUUAUAGGGAAGCAAAUACCUCUGAGAUCAGAAAUGGGCUCUUAGGCUAAAAUACAGAACAGUAAGGCAGUCUGGAAAAACCAACCAGCCAGAGAGAAAAAAGCUGUGAACACACAGGAACCAAACCUCGCAGCUUUGGCAACAGCCGAAAACCGUUCAGGGAACAUUUCCUUGGUUAUCCUCAGCUCUCCCUGCUGCACGUUCCGCUGCCUCUGGGCAGGUGCGGGUCUUAUCAAUAACCUUCUGGGAACAAAAGGGACCUCUGAAAUAAAUGUGCAAGCUUUUGUGGUACUUUUUGCAUUUUCCCACUGGUAGCACUUGUUUUAUUCUAUGCGGUUGAGGACAGUCAGACUUUUUGCUAUUUCAUCACUUUUAUUACUUUUAAUUUUUCAUUUGAAGUUCCUUUGCUUCUGACUGUAAGUCAGUCAUCCUGAAUACUGGGGAUGGAUGUGGAAAACCAUCAGCGUUAGUUGAAAAUGCAACCAGGGGAGGUUGUAUCUAUAGAGCUUUAUCUCUGUAUUCAGGCAGAAGGCUGUUGGUGUCAUCGUACAGUAAAUUGCAGUACAUUUUAGUGAUUUUCAUCCAAAAAUUUAAAAUAUUCUAAGCCAAUAAAUAAGGAAAAGAUUAUACUAUUUUUUAUACUCUUCUUACAUGUGUAUUUUCCUAAUUCAUUGAACAAUUUGGAAUCUUUAGAGUUGUUUGCCAGGCCCACUGAAUUCCCUUUCCACCAUUACAUUUAACAGUCUUCUCAGUGGUUUCCAUAUAUCAAUACUGCAAACGUGUGGCAUAGAGAAGGCUACGGAAUUAAUAGCACAUGAAAUUCUGUCACUUGCAGUGCUGCAAAUGUUAAGUAGUGCCACUGAAAUUGCAUUUUAAGCAGUUUGAGAUUAAUGCAAUUUGUUGUAAAUGUCCUGUAUUUUAAAUGUUAUGUAAAAUGUGUUUUCCAGGCAUGCAGAGAAGCAAGGCUGGGAAUAGAGGCUGCUUUACUAGGCUAUUGCUAGUUAGAUUAUGCAGAAGGAUUGCGUUUUUCUUUCCUUUACAGCAAAAAUACCUUUGAAUGUACAAGAUUUCUAUAGAUGACUCUUAAUCAAAAAAAUACACACACAUACAUUGUACACGGAGGAUAUAUUUCUUAUAUAUGUAAGGGAAAAUAUACAUUAUAUAUAAUAUAUAUUAUAUAUUAUACAAUAUUACAUAAAUAUGUAAUAUAUACAUGUAGUGUUCAUUUUAUAUGCAUGUAAAUAUAUAUAAUGAAUAUUUUGCUUUUUGCAUAUCAUUAAGAUCAGGAAAUCUCCUCAUGUUCCUUUCUGUUUCUCUCUCUCUUCCUCUCUCUGUUUCAGUAUCUAUCUCAAUAUCUAUCUCUUCCUUUAACUUUCUAAUUUUAAAUUAUCUACAGCAUAUAAAAAUUAGAGACAGAGAUAGAAGGGGGUGUGAGGAAGAGUCCUGAUCUAUUUUUCUUAAUAGGACAUAAAUACUUGAUAGCCUAGAAAGUACAUGAAAACCCCACACUUACCAGACCUGUUACUUUGUCAAUACGUACCUGAAGGCAUCACAAGCUAAAACUCUGCAGUGUAACAACGAGCAGAAAAUAGGACGAUGCUCAUUGGAGCAGAAUAGACAUGCGUGUGAGCAUAGCGGCUGUGACAAUUUGGAAAAUUUAACCCUAGAGAUUCCAUGACAGGGUUUUCUGUAAUUUGAUUUCUGUGGCUAUUUUUCUAAGGAGAAAAUACUCAGCUUGGUUUAUUCAGUUACUUUUACAAAAGUUUUGUGGCUUCCUAUUUUUGAGGGGUAAACUUGCCUUUUGAUGAAAUGAAUGAUGAGUUAAUGUAUCUUCUGCAGGAACACGGCUGGCUGUAAUUUUGCUUGGCUGAAUCAACACCCGGCCAGACCCAGGUGAAUGCCCAAAUCCGUUUCAGGAAUCCGCCCUUUUCACAUGCCGUGGUGUUGGCCACCGGAGCUGCUGGCAGGACGCGCUGUGCCUGCGCUGCCCGGCGCGGCGGGCGCGGGGACGAGUCUGGGGGUGGCAGGUGCCUCCGGAACCCCGUCCCCGGCGGUGGGGACACAACCCGCCCGCACGAGCGAGCUCAGAAAUGAAUCUACACGUUUCCUUAACUGGGUCAGGCGCGUUUUAUCUAAUGACUUUGCGCAGUGUUCACUAGCAUGACAGUAGACGGUCAAGUGAGUUGCUUUCCAUGGCUGAGGCCAAACCACAGUGAAGCUCCUGAGAAACCAGCACCCUGCAGGUGACUUGGGGUGGUGGUUGCCGGGAGCCAGGGGAGCUGUGACAGGCCCACAGCCUUAGUCUCCGUCAGGAAGCGGAUGUGGUGUGGGUCUGACCCAGGGCCCUGCGGGGCGGCAGCCCCAGCGCGGUGCUCCUGUGCGCUCAGCGCCCGGCAGGCGGGCGGGGGCGGGGGCAGGCCGGACAGCGCCCUCGGUGGCCCUGUCCCGAGGCACCAGCUCCUCGCGCCCCUGCAGCGGAGCGGGGCGCGGGCGUCGCGCUGUCCCCGCCGCAGCGCACGCUGCCGCAGCGCGGCCCGCUCGCCUUCCCGCGCUGCGCUGAGCCAGCCGUGGCGCCGCGGUGGGAUGUUUGACUGCGCAGAGCUGUCAGUGUUCGUUAACUAAGUACCUAGAUGUCCCCAAAAGGUGGGUCAUAUUGGGAGAAUAAACAUGUUUGAAAUACUAAUAGCUACCAGCUAGGAAGCCAUUAAAAGCUAAUUAGAGGAGAGGAUCAAAACUACCUAUUUUUAAUAAUAAUUACUGUCAUGCAAAACAGUGAAAGGGGUGCUUCUGCAUUGAUACAAUCACAAAUUGCUUUUCGGAGCUUAAAUAUUCUAGCAGUUAAUUUGUCCAAAGGCACACUGCAAGGACACAGGGGUUUUCAGAAAACACAUUCCAGUCAUGUUUCUUAAACCAGGCAGUGGUAACACUUGCUUUAAGGGAAGUUAGCAACCCAAAUUAAUUAUCCAAAAUUAACACCAGCCUUUAGGACAGAUAUUAUCUCCUCAGCAUUCAUUGUCACAGCUCCAGACUAAAAGAGGAAAUGAAAUAAGGAGGUAUUAGCAGGAUAACUAAAAACUGAGCAAAGAAAAGAGAUGUGCAUUGAUCUUUCUUACAUGAGUUUCUUUUCUCUGUUGGAGUGAAAUUUUUUCACUUACAGAUAAUCAGCGUGAAUUCCAUAUAAGUGGCACUGAAUUUUACACGCUGCCUUACUAGCGUGGGCAGAGGAGAAACAGCUGCCAUGCGGAUAGCUCAGUAGAGACAUUUCUGAUAAUUCGGCACUGUUGGUGAUGGCUUUGUAGGUGUAUCACAUGCAAUAUUGCCCUUUCACACACCUCCAUUUGGCACUCGAACUGACCUCAACAGAAAAACUGCCGCAGGUCGGGAGCCGUCCCCGUGACAGCGCUGACGCAGCCUGUGGGCUCGGGGAGGCCCAGGGCGCCCUGUGUCCAGCACAGACACAGCCUGAGCUCUCACAGGUGUCACUGCUGGCACCGUGUGCCCCCGUUCGCAGCGUUUCAGGGCCCAGACCCUCCCCAAGGGAUGGCUUGGGCUGCACUGGCUCUGCCCGCGCCGCGUCCCCAGCCGAGGAUCUGACCCGUGUCCUCCAACAGCCUCUGCCAGCAUCGCCACGCAGAUACCCACCAUCAAUUUCUAAUGAAUUGCCAUAUAAAACCUUUCACAGCAGGAAAACUGACAUUACCAUGCAAACAACGAGUUCGAAACAAUGAAAGUACAAUCAAAUAUUUGUGUAAUGACCUAAAACAGAACAAUAUGAUAAUUUGUAACACAAUAAACUACAGAUAAAGAUAAGUGAAUAACGCACCAAAUUAUGGAUCUGUUAAUUUUGAAAGAGCUGUUACUAUACAGCCCCACACUGCUACAAGGAAUUGGGUCCUGUCUGUUUUUAUCUCAUGAGCUAUCUUUUCAUGGGAAAUUGAAUUUUAAAGUGAUUGUACAGAAGGCUAAAAUUGGGAGACGAGUUUCUAAAAAAAGUCUCUGGUGACAUGGUGUCUCUCUCCUCCGUGUACUUGUCUGCUGGUCCAAGCUGGAUUUUCUGGACUUAGUUCCUGUUUGCUGUGACUUCAAGAUUUCUUGCAUGUAGCCCUCAAAAAUGUUUGCUGCAUCUAAUCCUUGUGUUGUGAGACAAUCACGAUUUCAAUGUAUGGUUAGUUACCCUCAGACAUGUAGCAUGGGUUUUGUUUUCCCCUUAGAAGCUUUAUGAGAUGUAUCUUUUGGCAUGUGGUUUGUGUAGAAAAGCCCCGCGCCCCAGGACUUUCCACACCAGUGCACGCGUGGUGCAUCCCGAGCGUGGCUUCCCCAGCCGCAUCUCAUCCACAGACUUUUAUAAAGCGUCUGCACAGCAAAACACUGACUGCAAACAGGGUAAAAAUGUUUGAUGGGGCUUUUUAUGCUGAAAGUCCAGACACAACCAACUCGCGUUGCUUUCACAGAAAGUUUCUUCCUACAGUGCAUUGGGCAAAAGAGAAAGUUUAAACACUUCCAACUUCCACCUGUCCCUAAAAAGCAAAUGGCUUAGCUGAAGUAAUUGUAUGAAAACAUAAACAGUUACAGUCCCUCAAGAAGCCCUUAAAUAUGGCAUGUUGAGUCAGUAAUUUGCAUGUGGCUGCUUGUUUAAUAACAAACUGUCUCCUGAGAGGUAAUUUAAUCUUUUACACCUAAUUAGUCGUUCUGGGAAUAAUACUAGACGUUGCAAGUAGGUAUGAGUCAUGACACAAAUGUCUUUGAAAUUUAGGAUUAAACAUGGCAAUGAACAAAACUUUAAAUGUGUUUUUUAACUUCGGGAGCUUCGUAUGGUUUAGUAAAAGAUUAAUUUUUUUACUUCAAAAUUAAAGUCUUUAGUAGUGUUUCUAUUAGGCAGCAUUAUUUAAAAAUCUGAAUUAAACUCAAGAGUGGGAUCCAUCUACAGGAUGUUGCAUCUGUCAAUUAUUGCAAUAUUGAAAAUAUAAAAGGAGAUCUACAUUUAGAUGUACAUUACUGACUAUACAGGGACUAGACUUUUAUUUCUACUUUAUUUUGUUAUUAUUAGCAGCACGGCUCCAAGCCGACUGAGACUGACCCUGCUCACGAGGGCCGGCGGGGCGUGCGCGCAGGCCCUGCGCCACCAGCGUCCCUGCACUCUCCCACACACGUCAACAGCGUCAUGGCACCCGUGGUCCUGAGUCCAGAAUCUCCCACGUGAUUCAGACGAGAAAAGUGCCAAAACUCCUCAAAAUUAGAUAUUUUUGGAAAAGAAAAAAAAAUUAUUAUGAUGGACAAGAAAACCAUACUGCCCACCCCUCCCCUCCCAGUUGGAGCAAAUACGGAGUGAAACGCCAGCAGUUGCAGGGGCAUUGCCGGGGAUGAUCCGGUGUGGGUUCUCUGUCGUGGGUCGGUUCUUCAGAGCGGAUUCUCCGUUGCGGGUUGUCCCAGACUGUAGAACACGGAGAUGAUGCUACCAACUGCUGCUGGAAACAUAUGACAUGUAGUGGAAGCUGAAGUAACUCUGCAGUAGCAGUUUGGACUCUAGUAAGUGGGGAUGUAUAUUAAAUUUUGCACUGAUUUUUGUAAAAAGGGCAAAUGGGUAAGGAUAAUCAGCAUCUGGGGUUAAGCUUCGGGAUGUAGGAUGGAACGAAGGAAACAUUGCUAACUUGUUGCAAAUUUCUGCAGAUAACUGCAACUUUCAAACCACUUUCUCUCUGCCUUGUUUCUAGUUUAACUUUGCAAGAACUCUUCAGGCACAUAUGGAAGAUAUUGAAAGUAGGUGCUUCCCCCCGUCCCCUCCCCUCCCAUUGGAUCAGCUCAAAUUAGUACAAUCCUCCAUGCCAAGGUUCAUAAUACUGAACUUAAUCACUGAAAAUAUGAUUUUGCUCAGCAGUGCUUUUUCCAUUAUCAGUAGCAUUAUUGCAAGAGGGAGUUCUUUGUAAUUCUCCAUGAUUAAUUGCCCAACAUUAUUAGAGUUGGACCACAGAAGUGUUUUCUCCAAGUAAUAACAAGAUUCCUGACUAGUAACGGUUUGGUUAUUUUCGUUCUAGCGGUGUGAAGUUUCGCAGUUGGUGGUGACCUUCAGCUUGUAGCCUUUUACAUGACUCCUAGUAGAGAAGAAACAUUCGAAGUCGAGUUUAACUGCACUGUAAUUAUCCUGCUUCUCUUGCCGCUUCCUCUUCUCCCCUUUGUUUGUGUGUUUUUUCCCUUUUCUGCCCCCUUUGGUUUUUUCUUGUAUCCACACACACUUCUUGGUUUAUCACUUGGUCGGACUGAUCACUUCAGGAACGCAGUUCUGGCAAAGGACCAGCCUGCUCGUCACCUGAUGGUUUCCUCAGUGUGCUCGAAUUCAAAAAUAAGUGCUGAUUUCUGGUGAGAAAUACUGAGGUUUAGAUUUAUUGAAGAUGCUGUUUUAUUUACAUUUCUCUCUGAAGAACUGAAGAAGUGAGGAGACAGACCUUGCUGCUUUCUGUGUUCAGAGACGGAACGUUACUCGAGUGGAAAUACUUUCUUGACCGCAGGGUUUGCUUAAGAGGACAGAUUAAACUCCUGUUACAGACAAGCUAACGCUUUGCAAACCUAUUGGAGAUGUCUGUAUUGACUUUAUUUAGUUGACAAGUGUGUAUUUGUAUUUUAAUUCACCUUGCAACAAUAAAAUCCUAUGCAUA